GAUGAACGCUAGCGGCGUGCCUAACACAUGCAAGUCGAACGAGCAAUCGGAUUCUUCGGAAACCGGUGGGCUAGUGGCGAACGGGUGAGUAACACGUAGGUGACCUGCCCCGAAGUGGGGGAUAAUUCUUCGAAAGAGGGACUAAUCCCGCAUGUGCUCCGUAGGGUUAGAGUCCUGCGGAGUAAAGUUCCGGCGCUUCGGGAGGGGCCUGCGGCCGAUUAGCUAGUUGGUGGGGUAAUGGCCUACCAAGGCUAUGAUCGGUAGCUGGUCUGAGAGGACGGACAGCCACACUGGCACUGAGAUACGGGCCAGACUCCUACGGGAGGCAGCAGUGAGGAAUCUUGCGCAAUGGGCGAAAGCCUGACGCAGCAACGCCGCGUGGGUGAUGAAGGCCUUCGGGUCGUAAAACCCUUUUCUGGGGGAAGAGGAAGGACGGUACCUCA
rnacentral:rRNA from 1 species